AAUAGAUACCCAGGUAGUCCACGCCGUAAACGAUGAGUGCUAAGUGUUAGGGGGUUUCCGCCCCUUAGUGCUGCAGCUAACGCAUUAAGCACUCCGCCUGGGGAGUACGACCGCAAGGUUGAAACUCAAAGGAAUUGACGGGGGCCCGCACAAGCGGUGGAGCAUGUGGUUUAAUUCGAAGCAACGCGAAGAACCUUACCAGGUCUUGACAUCCCAAUGACCGCUCUAGAGAUAGAGUUUUCCCUUCGGGGACAUUGGUGACAGGUGGUGCAUGGUUGUCGUCAGCUCGUGUCGUGAGAUGUUGGGUUAAGUCCCGCAACGAGCGCAACCCUUAUUCUUAGUUGCCAUCAUUUAGUUGGGCACUCUAAGGAGACUGCCGGUGACAAACCGGAGGAAGGUGGGGAUGACAUCAAAUCAUCAUGCCCCUUAUGACCUGGGCUACACACGUGCUACAAUGGACGGUACAAAGAGCUGCGAGCCCGCGAGGGUAAGCCAAUCUCAUAAAACCCGUUCUCAGUUCGGAUUGUAGU
rnacentral:rRNA from 1 species